rnacentral:rRNA from 1 species
GCGUUAAUCGGAAUUACUGGGCGUAAAGCGUGCGCAGGCGGUUCUGCAAGUCAGAUGUGAAAUCCCCGGGCUUAACCUGGGAACUGCGUUUGAAACUACGGAGCUAGAGUACGGCAGAGGGGGGUGGAAUUCCACGUGUAGCAGUGAAAUGCGUAGAUAUGUGGAGGAACACCGAUGGCGAAGGCAGCCCCCUGGGCCGAUACUGACGCUCAGGCACGAAAGCGUG